rnacentral:rRNA from 1 species
UACGUAGGGGCCUAGCGUUGUCCGGAUUUAUUGGGCGUAAAGAGCUCGUAGGCGGUUCGGCAAGUCGGAUGUGAAAUCUCCACGCUCAACGUGGAGGGGCCAUUCGAAACUGCUGUGACUUGAGUCCGGUAGGGGGGUGUGGAAUUCCCGGUGUAGCGGUGAAAUGCGCAGAUAUCGGGAGGAACACCAGUAGCGAAGGCGGCACCCUGGGCCGGUACUGACGCUGAGGAGCGAAAGCGUGGGGAGCAAACAGGAUUAGAUACCCUGGUAGUCCACGCCGUAAACGUUGGGCACUAGGUGUGGGACUCUAUCGACGGGUUCCGUGCCGUAGCUAACGCAUUAAGUGCCCCGCCUGGGGAGUACGGCCGCAAGGCUAAA